UUCUGUCUUGGCAAUCUAUAAACUUAACAAAGAUAAUACUGAUAAUGUAGUGAUGUCAAGUAAAAAACAAAUAAACAGCUGUAAAAUGUAGUAACUGGGGGACAGUAAGCUUUUAUGUAGGAGUCAUGUUAUAGUGAUACUGGUUGUACAUCAAGGCAGUCAGCGGCCAGUGUGUUUCCAGUGCAUUCCUUGGCUUUGAAUUGUGGCCCAUGCCUUUUUCCACUGUCAAAUCCGUGGGAACAAAAUUUGGCGCUUUAUUUCCCAUGUAAUUGUUGGAAAGGCACCAAGUUUAUUGCACAACAAUCAUUUCUUAACUAAGAGCACAUUGUUAAUACUUGGUUGUUGUAUUUUCCUUUAUUUUGUGUAUAUUACAGGCUGUGAUAACGGAUUUGGGUUUGCUUUGGCAGUGCACUUCCAUGCACUGGGGUUCACAGUGUUUGCAGGAUGCCUUCAGAAGCAGGAGAAGGACUGGGGCGUGUGAGCUGGAAAGCACGAAAUCGGACAGGAUGAAGGUUGUGCAGCUGAACGUGUGCAGUGAGGAGGCUGAGGUCGUGUGUGAGGAAACACUUACAGGAAACUGAGACAGGCAGGGUGGUAAACAUCGGCAGCAUGUUUGGAAGAAUGAGAAACUCGUCUCGCUCCCCAUACUGUGUGUCCACGUAUGGUGUGGAGGCCUUUUCAGACUGCCUGAGGUACCUAUCCUGUUAAAGCAGCCGGUACUACUGUAUGACUCAAACUCUUCUAACAAUGUGAUGUGUGGAAAUGAUUAUUUAUAAUCCGCUCAGGUGAUCUGCAUAGAUGGUGAUAAAUAAUUGUUGCCUUUUGUGAAAUGCUAUUGGUGGGGUCACCACUUAAAAAUGCAUUAUUAUUAUUAUUACAACUCAGCCUUUUCCAUAAUCACUUUCAAAGAAUUAAAACAUGUUAAUUGAAACUAAUUGUCAAUGGAGUUCAUUCUUUAUUGCAGAAGCACACAUCGUGUCCUUCAGAAAUAAAAAAAAGCUCUGUUUUUUUAGUGUAUGCUGUAGUUCAGACCUAUGUUCUGCCAUCUGUAAGUAAGCACGAAGCUUGUCAGAAACAUUAUUUCUGAGAUUAUUUUUGAGGUUAGGAAAAGGCAGAUCUCUAUGCAGCUCCUUAUCUAGGUAAAAAAGUUAUACAGAAUAAUACUUGAAAUUUAAAUAACAAAAACUGCCUGCUUAAAUAUCGUACACGCUAACCUCAAAUAAUCUCAGAAAUAAUGUUUCUGACAAACCUCAUGCUGAAUUACAGAUGGAAGAAAAUAGGUCUGAACAAAGCUUUCUUUUAUUUCUUCAUCUGAAGAACCCGAUGCUAUGGUUACAUGACAUGCUGGACCUACUUGACAAAACAAAACAACAUUAAUAUGGUCUUACUUAGGCUGGUGAUUUAUAAUGACAAAGACUUGAAAUGUCACAUUUUUCAAAUUUUGCCAGUUUUUCAUUAAGUAUAUGGAAAACGACAAAGCGGCAUGUAAUUCAGUAUGUUAAAGUAACAUUAUUCAGAUGGUUUCAUUCAACUUUAUGAAGCAAAAUUAGUUAAUUCUAUAGGGUGAUGCAAAGCUUUUGGCCAUAGCUGUACUACAUAACUUAAGUUACACAUUUCCUAAAUGCUUAAUCCAGAAUCGCAGGUAAUUGGCCUCAAGACAAAAAAUGUGCUUUGUGGUUUAGCAUAAAACAGAACGAUUUGAACACUCAUUAUAAGUUUUGGCUGUGUAAGUUUUGUUGUACAGCUAUGACCAAAAGUUUUGUAUCAAUAAAGUGUAGUGUAGCUUAGUACUAAGUAAGUUCACAGAGCCAAGGGUGACCAAGUUUCAUGCCAAAUUUGCACAUUUUUUUGUGACAAACCAAAACUCUUUUAAGGGCAUGUAACAGGGCGAGCAGCCCUCUACGUAUUAUUUAUUUAUUUAUUUAUUUUUAGAACGGGGUCUCCCCCUCCACCCGUGUUACUUUGUAUUUGUUUAUGAUUUAGUUAUUGUGUGUAAAUGACGGCGAGCGCCGUAUGUUUUGUUAUUGUUUUGUUUAGUGACGGCGUAGCCGGUUGUUUGUUUCAUACUGUUUGGUAGUGUGUAUGGGAAGCCCCAUCCACUAUUAUAAAAACCUUGUGCAGAAGGUGGCCAUCUCCCGAAUUAAUUAAGUGAUUAAUUUGUUGCUAAAUCAGGAGAUGGUCAUCUACAUAAAAGCCUGCAGCUCUCUGUCCUCGGGGUGGGUGUAUGAGGAGCGAGAGUGGAGAGAGUGAGGAGAGAAAAACAAAACUAAAAAAAAGAUACAGGAACAGUGAAGGCUACAGCCCAGCCUGACCUGUACGGUUUAUUUAUACUUUGUGUUUGUGACUUGUUUUUGUUUUCCUGUUUUAUUUUUGGCUCUGUGAGCAAGUGUUUCGUUUUGUUUAAACCUUUGAUUUAUUUUUGUAUUUAAAUAAAACGGUGCCACCUUUAACUGCA